rnacentral:rRNA from 1 species
CUCCUACGGAGGCAGCAGUGGGGAAUUUUCCGCAAUGGGCGCAAGCCUGACGGAGCAAUACCGCGUGAGGGAGGAAGGCCUUUGGGUCGUAAACCUCUUUUAUUGGGGAAGAAGCACUGACGGUACCCAAUGAAUCAGCAUCGGCUAACUCCGUGCCAGCAGCCGCGGUAAUACGGAGGAUGCAAGCGUUAUCCGGAAUUAUUGGGCGUAAAGCGUCCGCAGGUGGUUAAUCAAGUCUGCUGUUAAAGCGUGCGGCUUAACCGCAUAUCGGCAGUGGAAACUGGUUGACUAGAGUUCGGUAGGGGUCACGGGAAUUCCCAGUGUAGCGGUGAAAUGCGUAGAUAUUGGGAAGAACACCAGCGGCGAAAGCGCGUGACUGGGCCUGAACUGACACUGAGGGACGAAAGCUAGGGGAGCAAAGGGAUUAGAUACCCUGUA